rnacentral:lncRNA from 1 species
ACUUAUAUACACACUUAUCUUUUCCAAAAUCAAAUAAAUUUUAUUUUAAUAAGCAUAACAAUCUUUAUAUUAUCUUAUAACUUUUCGAAAAGUAAAGUUCAUAUAUGAUAUUUUAUGUUAAUCACAAGUCACAACUAAUCAUUUGCAAAUAACAUCACUAUAGAGUUAUUCUAUUAUAAAUGCAGUUUGCCGCUCAAAAUGAUAAGGAACAGUCAAACUUUAUUUCUUUUUAAAGAACCUUCGUUUUCAUUUCCGUGAUUAUUAUUAUCAUUAACACGUUUCCGUUUCAAUCGAUUAUGAAAAAAAACGCUGAUUUUUCGGUGAUUAUUAUUACACACUCGCAACGUAUUGCCAUAAAUUUCGAGUCAAGUAUAGGCUAUAAAUAACGACAUCCCCACAUCAUCCAUCUCGACACUAUCACAACCUCCUUUCGUUACACUCCAAGCAUCGUCGGAGAAGACGACCGGAGUCUUGACAGAACCUACGGCUCGUUACGUUGCGAACUGAACGCCGCCCGGAUCACGUGGAACUCACCGGAGCAUCCCGAAGACACCGGAGCUCACCGGAGCACAAGUCGGAACAGUAACACGUGCCGGAGCAGUCGAAGCUCGCCGGAGUCGAGUCAGAAGUCCACAACGGGAACUGUUGUUCAUCGUGUUUGCAUACAAACUUAAAUGGAAUCGUUAUCAUUGGGAUAAUCGCUUCCCCGUUCGUUACUUUGGAAUUCUCCAUCCUUUACCCGUACGUUCUUACAAGAAUUCGCAACGCAAUCAAUGUUGAUUGAUCAAGAUUCAAGAAAACAAGCUAGGAUGGCAUUAAAAACCCACUUUAGCAAUUAAUUAAUGUUUGGAUUUAUGUUUGAAUAUUUGAGACUUUGUACUACUUUUCUAGUUUUAAUAAAAUGAUUUAAUUCAUAUU